GGAUGGGUUGAGCCCGCUGAUCCUAGGAGCCCACAUGAGCAGAGUGGAGCUGUGUGCUUUCCUGUUGGACAGAGGGGCCAACCCCAACAUACAGGACAACCAGGGCAGGUCAGCCCUGAUGCUGGCCUGUGAGAGUGACAGUGCAGAGACAGUGGAGGUGUUGCUAAGGGGGGGGCUAACCCACAGCUGGCCGACGCCUUCAGACACGACGCAGCCCACUACGGCGUAACCGCCGGCAACCAGCGGAUCGCACAGCUUCUGCAGAACUGUCUUCCAGGUAACCCACGGUAACCUCUUGAUGUCUCACCUGCUGACUGAAGCAGGUUUGGGCUCAAUUCCUUUUAAAUUUGGAUUUUUGUUUAGUUGGAACUUCAAUCCAUUUCUUGACUGAACUGACUUGAAAUUAAAUUGAGCGCAAUCUUGCUCUGCUACCCUUUAAGCCCAGUCUGGGGCUUCAUUCUGGGCCCUGGUAGAAUGGUGGAUAUAAUUAUAAUUGAUAGAACAGACCACAUUCCCUGCUGGUUAUACCAGGGGCCAUAUUUGGUGUACAAUUUCAAAUGUUCAAUUAAUUAGUAUUGCCAACUACUACAACACUUUGUAUGCUAUUUAAUGUACUGUACCAGAAUCCAUGGAGCAUAAUCCUUUCUAUCAGUUGUACUUUUAUGGCCUGGUCUAUGGCCCUACUCUGGUCCCCCAGGAAAUGGCUGUAAUGUGAGGAAGUGGAUGAAGUAAAGGGGACAGCUGGGGGUAAUUGUAAAAGCCUGAAACAGAGAGGCUUGCUGCACUUUUAUCUUCAAACAAAGGCUUGGUGAUUUACGAAAAACAGAUGUGUGCUUCGUUUGAAAUGGAGAUGAAUGGAACAGAUCAGUGCCUGAAAUGUCUCUGAUGUAUCUGUGAUAUAUGAGGACUCUUGUGUCUUACAGUAGGGCUGUUGUUUGGUGUUAUACUGAGUGCUACGAUAUAUAGGAGGAUUUUUAUGGGCCGGUAUGCUGUUUAGCUAUAACUACAGUGUGUAUGUGCGUGUGCGUGCAUGCGCGUGUAUUGAAUCUCAAUGGACCAGAGGUUAAAAGGAUUUGCCGUUUGUCUCUCCCCAUGCAUACAUAGCCACUGAGGGCAACGGCGAGGAGAGGCAGCCCCCACCUCCCCCUCCUCUGCCAGGGGGGACCACCCCCCGCAAGAGGAAAGCCCCUCCUCCACCUCACUCCCCUCCCCAGG
rnacentral:lncRNA from 1 species